AUUCGGGGUAUUAAACGUAACUAGAUAAUCAUUAAGUAGUCAUUUGUUAGUUAUCAAUGUCAGUUUGAUUCCAAUACGAUAGCACUUCCUUCACCUUCACAUCUUGGGGAAAAUUAUUUGGUCCCAGCGUUGUCGUCAGUCAGGGUCAACGAUGAUCCAGCCUCUCUGAAGAGCUUUCGGAGAUCAUUCCCCAGUAAAAUGUCAUCAGGACUGAUGUUGGAAUCAGCUGGAAUGACUAGUGCUUGGCGUGUUUCUGGAUGACGUUGACCACGACUACUGUUUGCUAAUUCACUCAAGGGAAUUCCAACUUCGUGUGUUGCCCAUACAUCGUAAUUUGGUGGACAGGGGCCCGUGCAGGACCGGAGCCACAUCUUGGAUGUGGUGGACGCAUUCCUUGGGGUACAUUCAUUUGACAAGUGGAUGAAGCCUUGGUACCUGGCACCAGCCCAGCGAUAUACCCCAUGUGAACUUUGAGAGCUGAAGCAACACCUGAAAUUACAAAUCCAGAACUCAAUUGUUGAGUGACUCCACAACUCCUGAUCAUUCCCAGUUAAUUAGGUUUCCACCAAAAAAAAAAACAAUAUUCCUGAACAAUCAAUUUUCAUUAACGAGCAUUUCUUUUGUUAAUACAAAUAAUUGAGAGAACUGAGACAGGAAAUUGGAAAGCAAAAAAACUAGUGCAGCCAUAAUUUUUUAAAGAAAUUUUAGGAAAUUGUUGUGACUGGAUGGUAUCUCCAGGUUGAAAUGACAUGGAAUGUUGUGUUCAAUAUGGAAUUACAAACCUGUAAUGGAAGCUGUGGAAGUUUUUCGACUGCUGGGACGACUCCCGAAGAGACUGAAGAGACGUUGGAAGACCCCCAAACGAUUGGGCCCCUCA